UACGGGGGGGGGCAAGCGUUGUUCGGAAUUACUGGGCGUAAAAGGGCUCGUAGGCGGCCAACUAAGUCCGACGUGAAAUCCCCAGGCUUAACCUGGGAACUGCGUCGGAUACUGGAUGGCUUGAAUCCGGGAGAGGGAUGCGGAAUUCCAGGUGUAGCGGUGAAAUGCGUAGAUAUCUGGAGGAACACCGGUGGCGAAGGCGGCAUCCUGGACCGGCAUUGACGCUGAGGAGCGAAAGCCAGGGGAGCAAACGGGG
rnacentral:rRNA from 1 species